UUUUUUCUUUUUAGGGCCGCACCCAUGGCAUAUAGAGUUUCCCAGGCUACGGGUCAGACUGGAGCUAUAGCUGCCGGCCUAUGCCACAGCCACAGCAACACAGGAUCCAAGAUGAGUCUGCAACCUAUACCACAGCACACGGAAAUGCCAGAUCCUUAACCCACUGAGUAAGGCCAGGGAUUAAACCUGCGUCCUUGUGGAUGCUAGUCAGAUUCAUUAACCACUGCGCCAUGAUGGGAACUCCAGAUUGCUGUAAUUUUUAAUGUUUAGUUUGAUUUAAAUAGCCUUUAGAACCCUGGCCUCAGAACUUCUGCAUGCUGAGUGCAGGGCCAAUAAAUAAAUUAAUUAAUUAAUUAAUAAAAAUAGUCUUUAGAACUAGAUAUUGCUCAAUUAUUUUAAGCUUUCACAUAAUAAAAAGUGCACUUCAGUAUUAUAAUGAUUUUGAAAGCACGGUUCUCUCAGUUGCAAAAUGAGGAUACAAAUAUUAGAUUUACAUUCUUAGGUGAUAAGGACAAAAUAAGAUAUUACAAGUGGAAGUAACCUGACCAAAGACCACACAUAAAUAAUACUGAAUAUUACUGUUUAUAAUGUGGAUGAUGUUUGAGCCCUGGCCUGGGAACUUCUGUAUGUUGUGGGUUUGGCCAAAAAAGAACCCAACCAAGAAUGGCUUGGUUGAAGCUUGGUGUGCAGCUUGGUGAAAUCAGUCAUUUCUCAGCCUUUAAAAAUAAACACCCAUCCUACCCCAAACAGUUCCUCUCAAGCAGAAGCCACUGAGGUGCUUAAUAAGUUUGUUUUCUAUGAGUUCUUUAUUUUCCAUGGGAACUUCAGGUAACUUAGCAGUGACAAAGCUGAAUCCUUAAUCACUAGGCCACCAGGGAACUCUCCAUUCUUGGUCUAUGAUCCCAAAGGAAAGUCUACUAUUGUAUCUUCCAUGGAAAGAUAUAAUCAACUCCUAAUCUUGGCAUAAAUUAAUCUGCUUAUGAGCCUUUUAAAAUAAGGAGUCCAUGUAGAUUAUAUAAACAAUUUAAAGCUUUGGAUUUCCAAGUUAAGGCAUGAAAAGAAUUUAAACUAUUUUACCUUGGAAAGAUAGUAAGAACAUAACCAACUCUAACCUUGGCAGAAAUUAAUCUACCUAGUGAGCUAACAAGAGACAUGACUCAUAGAAAACAAACUUAUGGUUACUAGAGGGGAUAGAGGAGGUGGGAAGAUACAUGUUUGGGAUUAACAGAUACAUAUUACUAUAUAUAAAAUAGAACACUAACAAGGACCUACUGUAUAGCACAGGGAACUACAUCCAAUGUCUUGUAAUAAACUAUAAUGGAAAAGAAUCUCACAAUGGAAAAAAAUAAAAAUCAUUAAAAUAAAAAAAUGAGUAUCUGCUGGAUAUUAAAAAAAAAAGAAUCUGAAAAAAGAAUAUAUAUGCCUGUAUAAUUCAGUCACUUUGCUGUGCACCUGAGGCUAACACAACACUGUAAACAGACUGUACUUCAAUUAAAAAAAAAAACUGGUUGAAAAAAAGACAUGACUCAAAAGAGUGGGGAACUGAAUAGUUCAGUUAUAAAAGGGAUAGGGAGAAGGGAAAGGCAGUCUCUAGGUGUGGAUACUGGCUAGAAUCAGAUUCUCACAGGUCCUGUCACUUACCAUCUCCUCCAGGAAACUCUCCCCAGUCUCCCCAGACAGUUCCCUGAGGACCCCUGAAAUGCUCCUACAGCACCUAACACAUGCGGUCUGAUAAGGUCUUCUGUCUUCUCCCAGAUUUAAAAUCAUGGAGAAAAGGGAAUGGAUCCCUUUCUGUCUACCCCCUCUAACACCCAACACUAGGCCUUACGCAGAGAAAGUGUUCAACAAAGGUGUUUACACCCCUGAAUUAAGGGUAAGGAAAAAUCUUCAGUGGAGACCUAUCAGCAGACAAGAGCAUCAGAAGUUCAUCAAGCAUUUGGAGAAGAGAAUGCUAAAGAAAGCUACAACACCACUGAAAAACAAACUUUCUUGCUUUGCGAUUUUGCUUGUGGUUUAACAGGUACAAAGAUCUAGAUUUCCUAAUCUUUCCAUAUUUUAGGCCAGCCUUCAAUAGGAUUCUCCAAAGCAGACUUGCAUGCUGAUAUCAGUCUUCUUUAUUUCAGUGGUCAGCACAGCACUUAAAUACAGCCCUUGACAGCCUUUUUUAUGGAAAUGUGCAUUUAUAUGGGACUAGAAAAAUGAGCUGGACACAAGUUUAAAGUCACUUUUGGACAAAUCCUCUUGCAUCCUGACAGCACUGGAUGGUGUCUUACCUGCUGUCCUUUGUCUCCUUUCUGGCCCGGUGAGCCUGGAGCUCCCUGUAAUCCUGCUUCUCCCUGAGCAGAAAUGAAUUUUUUUAUCCAACAUUCUGUCACAAUGAACUAAAGACAAAUAGUUUUUAAAUAGGAAACUGACAAAAGUAAGACAAAGCUUUGCUCUCCUGGGAGCUGAUGCUGGUCCCUCUGCUGGGAGGCUCUUCUCUCCCCACCAUGAGGUUUACUACUCCCUCUUUCAAACACCAGGCAGCCACAUCUCCUGUCCGAACCUUCCAUGGGCUGAAACAUGUGCUCUUUUACACUCCUUGCACCUUGUGUGAGCCUCCUGCAUGGAGCUUACCCUACAUGCUGGUCACUGGAGGAAACUUCAGGUUCCUCUAAAUUUCCACCUCAUCCCCUUCCCCACUGCUCCAGCCUGGACAUGAGAUGGUAUCAGAGUGCUUGAAGCCCGAAGGCCUGCAUCAAGUUGCAGUGCCAGGGGACCUUUUGCUCUAGGAGCUGGGGCAAAAUUUUCCUUCCCUAGGGUACAGACAUAGAGGGAAGCCUACUUUUAGCACAGGUCUCUGGUUGCCUUUAACCCACAAAAGAUGUUCAUGUAGGUCCACAGGCCCAGGCUUCCCAAUGAGGGAGGGGCAAGUGAAACAAAUCCUUUGAGCAAAACCAGGGGCCCUCUGUACUCCCUGUACAACUCACAGCAAAGGGCAGAGCUGGUGGAUAUUGGGGAUACUGGACAGAUACAGUCUCCACAUAACAGAGACACACAAUACAUGGAGUAUCUUUGGAUAUGCAUUGAAGGGAAGGAACUGAGUUCCCUCCAACUGUGAAUUUCCAGAAUUGAAGCCUAUUGCUGGCACAUAUUAUGUACUCAUAUUUACCUCAUAUUUAUACAGAUGGUUCCUCUCUUUCUUUUCCUCAUUGUAUUACCCACCCAGGAAAGAAGGUCAGAUGGGCUCAGAACUAACGAGACUGAAAUCCAGGAAAUCCCAUCCAAUGCACUUCUAACUUACCCAGAGAAUGAAUGGCUCUGGCACCUGACUUAUCUAGCACUGAAGGCUCAGCCACGUUCUGUGCACCAGGGCCAUACCCACUGGGCCUGGUUCACUGUCUGGAGUGGUUUCUCUGUGGGCACAGGUUUAGGCUAGCUUACCUUCUCUGGAAUACACUGGCACUGGUCUGUUAGUUCCUGCUUUGCUGGCAGAAAUGCAGACAUUCGACUGGCAUACGCAGGUACUGAUAAAGAUGCAGUACUUCCAAAGCCAACCUGCUCUGGGCACUAAAAAUCCAGAAAGGGGUUUUAGGAAUAGGGUCAAUACCAAAUAUUCUGACAUUCCCAAACUAGUUAUGACUCCCACCAACCUAGUUAUUACUGGGGUCACCUGAAAGAACUUCCUUCUAAAAACCAAAGGUUGACACCAGCAUGUGAAAGUUCACAGUGACUGCUUUUUCACCAUCUCCUUAAAUUUUUAUUACACUGACAACAUGCUACAAAUGCAUAAAAUAUGGGUUUUGGUGACAAAUUCUAAAGCUAUUGUAGGUAACUUUAUGACAAGCAUAGUGAUAUCAAACAUUUACAAGAACUGCAUUGUUAUGAUAAAAUAAUUUUUGUAAAUAAAAUCAAUAUAUCUAUUUGGGAAACAAAUUUAAAAGUAAAAGAGUGUAAUUUGAACUUUUAAAACAUCAUUUACUUUCACAAGAUGCUUGUAAAGGUAUGUAAAAGUAGAAAAUAAAUUUGUUUUAUGCUUCACACUCUAGUUAAUCAAAGAAUGUAUAUCUUAUUCUAGUCCACUGUCCUUUAAAGUUAUUCAAAAUUCUCCACUGUAAGAGACAAGUGAUGACUUUUAUACUUAUCCAGUGGAUUCAGAACAUGUGGGGCCACAGGAAGUAAAAUCUGGUUCCAAAGCAAUGAACAUUUUUUCCCUCAAAAAAUGAAUCCAGAUGGAGAAUCUGAGGAGGAUAAAUUCAUCCUUUCCUCCCCACAUACUUUACCCCAGUUCUUACCAUGAUUUGUAACUCUGAAUUUGCAAUUUCAUAGCUCUGAAUUUGCAGUUUAAGGGGAAGGGUUCAGACAUUACUCUGUAGACUAUCAAUUAUAUAUGCCCAGAAAAAUACUGUCAGGAUACAAAAUUAAAAUAUUGUCUGUGGUUACUUAUUGUGGUGAGGUCAUGGUUGAUAUUUAUUUUCUUCUUUGGAGUUGGAUGUAUUUUCCAAAUUUUAUGUAGUAAACAUACAUAGCUUUCCAAACAGAAAAAAAUAUUUUGAAAAACAGGUGGCACUCCAGUGUUUGAGAGCCCAGUAAAAACUAAGAAAAAUAGCUUCCCAGAAAAACUGGAACUGGUCCCCUGUCUUUACCACUAGUCCUCUCACAUUCAUUCUCUGCGGAUUUAAUGAUUAGCUACUGAGUUACCUUAAUAAGUUUGUAAGUUCUCAAGUCCAAAUUACAUUAGAAUGAAAUACACAAGAUUAUCACUCAAAAAGGCCAUUUAUCUCAUGUGAUUUUUUUUUCUUUUGUCUUUUUAAGGCCGCACCUGCGGCGCAUAAAAGUUCCUAUGGAGGGGUCACAUUGGAGCUACCGCUACCAGCCUACACCACAGCCACAGCAAUGCAGGAUCCCAGCUGCAUCUGUGACCUAUACCACUGCUCAUGUCAAUGCCAGAUCCUUAACCCACUGAGCAAGGCCAGGGAUCGAACCCACAUCCUCAUGGAUACUAGUUGGGUUUGUGAUCACUGAGUCACCAUGGGAAUUCCCUUAAAUAACUUUAAAAGCCUAUUUCAGGCUUUAAUAUAAAACUGCCCAUGCUUUCCAAAAAGUGUCCAAAGGGAUAUAAGAUGUACAAGUAAGGACCCCUCCCCUCAUAAAACCACUGGUUUUGAUUUGACACAUAUUCAGUUAAUUAGCCCUCAAAAUUUUAACCAUAUUUCUCAUUUACUUUCAACAAAUGUUGCUGAUUUUCUCCUCUUUAUAUUUAUUCUUUUUUCUCUUUGUCUGUACUUAUGAAAACUGACUGUUUCAGAAAGAGAAAAUCCAAUUAAUGGUAACAAAGAAGUAUAUUUAUAGAUUAUCCUGAAUAAAUUUCACCUUUCAAAUAUGCUAUAAGAUAUUAAUAACAGAAAGCUUGUCUGAUUUGAAAUUAUGCAACAAAAAUAGAUUUUUAAGCAAGUACAUUUAAAUUGUCUGAGUUCAAAUAUUUUUCAAAAAAAUAUACAGUUGAUGUUAGAAUUAUAGCAGAAGCACUUAAGUAAUUUUUAUACAAUGUUACCUUCCAAAAUAUACAUUCCCAUUAAAUGUAAAUGAAAUAUGUUUCUAUUUCUUAUUAACCAUUAACAGAAUGGUGCUGUUUCCCUGCCUAAAUAAUUAUCAGCGGAAAAAGAAGCAGUCUUUUGUUCUUUUUUUCCCAAGUUGGAGAUGAAUUCCUACCUUAUUUUCUACUCUUUAAAUCUUUUAAAAACAUGAUUAAAAUUUUUUUUGCAUAAUGUGUGAGGUCACGUGACUGCUUUUAAUUAUCAAAUCAUUCCAUCCAAUCCAUCACCUAUAAUUCUUUAAAUAGUUUUCUCACAAUUCAAGUUGGAAAUAUCUAUUAUGUGAUGACACAGAACAGUGAUUAUUGGUCAAGAAUAUAAUAUUCAGGUAUAUCAAAACAUCAUUAUGUUACUUUUCAAUCAGGGAAAAUUAUUAUUUUAAGAGUUCCUAAGUAAAAGAAGCAUAAUUAACUAAAGAAAAAUUUCUGGAGGUAUUCACAUCUUCAAGAUUUGAAUACGUGGCUCCAGGAAGUCUAGGUUUUUCAAGUUACAUAAGUUACAUGUAACCAAGUUACCAAGUUACAUAAGCAAAACAUAUAAUUUCGAGAGACUUAGCUAUGUUUUGAGUCAGUUAAUCAUAUUACUCUACUACCCAAAUAAGUGAUAGAAGUUAAAAAUAUUUUUGAAUUACUGAACUAACAAUACAAUUUUUCUAUAACUUUCAAUGAUAAGAAUAGAACUUAUGGGAAAUUUAAGAUACACAGAAUAACUUUUCAUGUUCUUUCUGUGAUCCUUUUCAGAAUUAGUGCCUUUCGAACACCAUUCAACAAGUCAAGAUACAGUGUUUUGACUAUUUUCUACAAAGCACUGAGAAUAAAAAAGAGGGGUACAAAAGUAUAACUCCUCUCAUUGAGUUUAAAGGUUGCAGAAAAAGUUAAAAACGAAUACAGUUAUACCUAAUAAUAUAAGAUGCACAUGUAGUCACUGCAAUUGGAGAUAUAGAUAGUACUAAAUUUAGUAAAUUUUUGGAAUGGAAGAUUGGUACAAGAAGGUUGGGUUGAGAAUAUUAAGAAUGAGAGGCUGAGAAACUGAAUUUAUAUUUUCCUGCCAACUGGGAGUAACUACAGGCUUUAAGAGAGAAGUGAAUAGAGGGCAAGGAAUG
rnacentral:lncRNA from 1 species